AGAGUGGGUUAGCUGGGGGAGGAGGUGAUGGAGUUUGUUGGUCGGGCUGUGAAGAUGGUGGAGUCAGUGCUGUGAGGAGCUGCACAUGAGAAAUCACUGAGAAGAGAGUUUUAAGACAGAAACAUUGCCUGAAGAGUUUUCCAAGGGAUUCUGAUCAACUUACUUACUUGUGGCCCGGUGGGAAAUUUACAUGGUGGAGUGUUUGCCCUCACAGGGGACAUAAAAGGUCUGAAAAAGCGUGGUAAAAUCUGAACGCCAAUAUUGCAGCCCUUUGACCUCACAUGUGUACAGCUGAAAAUUCAGAUCCCAUCUGGACCCAGGAAAUGUGUGACUUGAAAGAAGGCAAAUGAAUGAAGCCUUCCUUGCUCUGGAGCUCAAGCAGAGAGGUUCUGCAGAUCACCUGGGAAAAUCCCAGUGCUUCAAAUUGUCUCAAAACCAGGAAGGCCAUGCUGUCUGAAGGGACCUGUGAAGAUUUGUUGUUGGGAGCCUCUGCUUUUGCUGAAAGCACCCCAUACAGCUCCAUGAAAAUUCAUCUUUGUGCCACUGAGGCACAGGGCAACAGUAGGAACAGCCUUCAGGGAAUGCUUCACCUGGCACUGAGUUCCAAAGAGGCAUUUUUCAGACUGUGGCUUUACAGUCAGUUUUUAAGAGCCUCCUGGAAAUAUCUCCCAAUCCCAUGGCUCCACACAUUGCCAGCUGAAGAUGACCGCUUGUGAAACUGGACUUCAAGCCAAGUCUGUGGCAAAAAUAGACUGCAAAAACAAUGAAUCACAGCUCAGCACUGCUGCACAAUACUACACUAAUGCUGUUCUGCCAUUUUUUUGGGCUGCAAUCUCACCAUCUGUUAAUUGGCCCCAUGGCACAUUGCUGCAGGGUGCUGAGAUUCAUUGCAGGCCUACAGGAUGAUUGGUGUCUCCUGAGCUGCUCAGGACGGGGCCUCUCUGCUUUUCAGGUCCUGCUGCUGUUUACAUCAAGUGCCCUGAGACUGGGUAUCCCAGCUGCCAUCCUCCACCUGACUGCCUCAGCCUCAUUGCUAUUUUAUGACCAGAGAUUGUGUCUGAGCAGAAGGAUGUGAGUGCAUCGCUUGCCUUUGAGAAAAUCAGUUUGUGCCAAGGAGGACAGGAUUUUUAGACACUGCAACUGUCAGUUAACAUCACCUGGAAACCAAGUGUGAUGCUUUGAGUGGGGUGGGGCUGAUCUUGCACCCCAACACUCAGCCUUGGCAUUGCUUACACCAGGAUCAGAAUAAUUCCUGGCCAAGCUAAGACCCGUUUCUGUUUAUGUUCCUUUCUAAAACUUUCUAAAACUAAUCUCUUUUUUCUCCACUGCACAUAUUUUCACAUUUGUGCUAAUGAAAGUGCUGGAUUGUUCUAGGGGAUCACAUGGAAAAUAUCUGUGAGCUUUGGCCAUCUCUCUGAAACACUACAGUCGAUUUGGUGUUUGCUUUGGCAUGUUGCUGUGAAAGAUUGUAGAGUGCUUGUGUUUAUAGGCAUACAGGGAAAGCAGGCUCCUGCUCAUUGUGCCUUUGUGAGGCUGCCAGACUGUCUGGCCCCAUCUAUUCUACUGUAAGUGAAAAGAGCCUCGCGAGUGCUCGCUGUGUGCUUGGACCAGGCUCUGCUAGGUACUAUGCUUGCUUGGAGGCCAUUCUGUCAGCUUGAAAAAUAUCUUUCUGCCUGAAUAGUGUUUACUCCCUGUUGUUACAAGUAACGUGUAAGAUUGCUUGUCAGUGAAGAAAAUUUUCCUUCUCCCCUUUGUUUCUUCUGUGUACUGGGCAGCUUUGCAUGUAGUGCAUUUUGGUGGCCCUCCUGUAGCAGGCAGCCAGCUGUCCUUUGAGAGCAAGAGAGGAUUUUCAUACAGAAUAAUGUGUGAAAAUUGGUGGUAUGAUGCAGCCCUGGUUGAAAGAUUUGGACAGUGCCCUUGAGGAAGGACUUUCCUCGUGUAGCCCGCUGCCUUCUGAAGGAAGAUAAGACACAGAUUUACAGGUGGAAGGCUUUUCUGUCCAAGUGAGAUUUCUCUGCUUAGUGUAGAGAGAUAUUGCCCAGCUGAAAGCUCCUACAGCACCCUUUGAGAAGAUGAAGGAUGACUCCAGCAACCCCUCUAUUAAUUUUCCUGUCUACAAGAAAGCUUCUUCUAAAAUUUAAUGAUAUCUGUGAGCUCCUGCUGAAAAGUCAUGGGCCGCAGGACCUGGAAUUGACUAGUAAUUAUAAAGUGCUUUGAUAUUAAACUUGGAGUCUGAAUAGCAGUUUGCAGAAUUCAGAUCUCCUUUCCUUUUUUAUGUGACAACAAAUAUUUAUCUCAGAUUUCCUUCUCUGGAAGGAACAUGUGGAAAACAAAUGUGCAUUGAUGGGAAUUGCUAGGUACCUGGCCCCAACCUGUAGCCCAGCAAUCAUUAAGUCCUGUCUGUAACUGCACUGAGUAUUUGGAGGAAGAAGCAAAUACUGCUGCAAUGGAUGAUUGCAACUAAACUGCAAACACACCUGCCCACUGCUUCCCAGAGAGCUCUGUCAGCUUUUGUUUCAAGCAGUGGCUCUGUUAAUUUCAGCAGGGGAGGUACAGUAGCUGAUGCUUAACAAUUAAUAUUUUUUGUUUUCUUUCAACUGUCACGCUUUGCCAGCCAGUUCUGCUUUACAAAAUCUGUAAGUAGGGAAGAUAGGUGUUUUCUUUUGUACAAUGGACAUCAAGGAAUUAAAGGAUUCAGGAAUUAAUGAAUAAUGCAGGCUGUUUUUACAACAAAUAUUCACUCUGCUACGUACACACUGAUACUGGGCUCAGACAUUUUGGUAUCAGCAACAGAGCCAAACCCCCAGGAGCCAAAGGUAAAUACACUUUUAUUCAGUGUCAGCCACCAAUCUCUUUCCAACUUUCAGGACUUUUGUCAAUGAGGGACUUGUGCUUGAGAAUCUGGCCUGUUAGCUUGCAGUAAAAAUAGAUAGGACCAGGCACAUUGCCUGCACAAAGCUCCCCUGUGAGACUGUGCAGCCCAGCCAGCCUUGUUCCUCCUCCUGCUGCUCUUCAUGUUGCUCCUGUGAAUCAACAGUGCUGCAUGUGCUCAGGCCGAUAGACUCAGACACUUGGCUUCUCACUAAAGCAGCUGAACUACCUGAGGCAGGAAUAGCAGGAGCCUUCUCAAGAAAACCAGUCAGUGACCUUCUCUGUCUUGGCCUGAUGGUUUGGAGGGAUAUUCAUGACAUUGUGGAGAUUGAAGAAAGCCUAGGAAUUUGCAGUUGCCCGGUAGCCUAUGUCAGAUUCUCUUAGUCCUGCCAGUGUGAGACCUUUCAGGAGGGAUUUUCCCUGGUGUAACUUUUUAGUUUUUUGGUUGUGGGGUUUGCCUGAUAUUUGGAAAUACUGAAAGCAAACUCUAAGAAGGCUUGCUUUGCCAAGAAAGCACCUUACCAAAGCUCUGCCUAGUACAAAUAGAUCAAUCCUCCAGCUCAAGGGCUGUUUCAUACUCUGUGCCUCAAAGCAUUGACCACCCUAACAUCAACAGCCAGCAGGCCCCUAGAUUUCUCUAGUACCAGGAUUAAACAUUUGUUUCCACUUCUCAAACCACUGUGUCUGAGGGUUCAAAACACUGCUGUGCCUGCUUGCAUGCCCCCUGCCAGGGCAUGGGCACAUGCUUCUGCAAAACCUGUCAGAGGUAAGCUGCUGCUGAGAGCUACACAGCACUGAGUGCAGCCCUGUGCAUUUGAGAAGAUAAAUGAAUCCAGAGGAAGAGGCGUCUGCUGUGCUGCUGCUAUUUCAAUGGGAAAGUGGAACCCUGAAAUGCUCUGUUCUACUUCAGUAGCUCUAAGAGGAGCCUUUCUCCAGAGGUCUCUGGCACCCAGACUAACUGAAAUAACUCCAAAGGGCUCUUCUAAACCUAGUUCUUCCCCCACGUUUUCAGGGGUUUUUUUCUUUUUUUUUCCCUUCUGUCUACACCCUCUCUUGAACAAAAAGCUUUAAAACUCUUUUUUUAGAAAGGAUUCAAAUGUGGUUUGGAUGAAGUUAAUGUGAAGUCAAGGUUGAUUGCUCAUCCCCCUGAAACCACCAGCAGUGACUGAGUGCCGGUGAGUGUGAGAAGGGAGCUCAAACAUAGCUGGGAAACUUGUGAGCAAGUUGAACAAAGGGUGGGCUGGAGGCUGGGGAUCUCUGCUCCCCCUCCCCCGUGUGACUUUCUCAGCUCACGCCGAACCCUUUGAUCACUGUCCAGCACGGGGUUGUGUGGCAGCCUGGGCUGGGGCCAGCAAUGUAUACAUGGGUGGAGGCUGCUGUAAUCUUCACAUGCCCUUGAUCCACCCUGUACCCUUAUUUCCACAAACACUGUCGCGUAUCACAGUGGGGUGCAUCACUGCCUGUGCUCCUUCAGCUAAAACACGGGACUGCCCCUGCCAAGCACAGCUCCCUUUUCCAGAAAUCUCUCUGAUAGCAACAAUUUGAAAAGUGCGCUUGUGUUUUGUAACCAUGACUCUAUUUUUGCCAAGCACAUUUGUAUUUGAGACUGAAAUACAACGCUGUGAGUACAGUAGUGCUAUUCAGCACACAGAGUUCGUGUCUUUCAGAAGUGGCUGCUCUGGGAGAGCUGCACAGGCGAGCAUGGCUACCUUGGGAAGGUGCUGCUCAUGAAGAGAGCACUGCCAGAAUCUUUCCUCUGGAAGUACAUUCUCCAGACCACCUGCUUUAGGGCAGUAUUUUAGCUCCAUAUUGCUCUAAUAAGGAUUUUAGUACUGCGCUCAGUGGCAAUUAAGAACUCUUGAGUCCAAGAUAAGUUCUUACAGAUGUGCUACCAUUAUCAUUCAUGCUUAAAUGUUGACAUAGUAACCUGCAAAAUGAGCUGAAGCUCUUGAAGAAAAAGGCUAAUUGUCUCUAAGGUAGAGUGGAUGGGAAUCAGUGAUGGAGAUGCAAGCUGUGGUCCCCUGUGCUUUUCAGUUGUAUUUGUUUGUGGCCAUUCACCAUCAGAAAGUGGAAAGAGGGACCUGGUUUCUCCUGUCUGGCUCUGCCACUGUGUCUUUGGGUAAGUUGCCUUCAGCACAGUGGUACAAGUAGACUUUAGGUGUUUGAAGAGCACCAGCAACAUGUGGCAUGCCAGAUUUUAAAAUAAACUCUGUUUUCUAUUAAAACCUACCACAAAACAGAUAUGGAUUCCACUCCUCUGCAUUAUUUCCUAUUUAUUUUGGGAUGGCCAGAGGACCCUAAAGGAAUUGAACCAUUCCCUAGCAAGAUCUCUGGCUAAUUCCUGCAGUAUGUAUGGCCCUCUUGUAAUGUGACACCAGUUUUUCCCAGAUGGUAGAUCCACUGCUCCUAGAAGGUCACACUAAGGAUGUUGCAACCCUGCAAUUACUUUUCUAGUGCAAAUGCUGAAACUGGUUGAAGAAUAUUGGGAAAUCUAGCUCGUCUCUCUUCAGCUCUCCCCUCCCCCCAAAUCACUUCAAAGGUCAAUGAAAUGCAGUUUUGCUCAGACAGAGGAGAAACCUUGUUGUGGCGUCUCCUCAUUCCUCCACAUUUCAGCACAACAGGACCAAACCAAUACACAGGCAAUUGCAUGGAGCAUGAGACUGUGAAACUGCCAUGAGCCUGCCAGUUGUGCAGCUCAGAGUCCAUGUGGAGUCACAAAGAGGGAUCAGGAUGUGUAGGGGCAAUUGCCCAGGGCUUGGGCAUGAG